rnacentral:tRNA from 2 species
GGCCGCGUGGCCCAAUGGCAAGGCGUCUGACUACGAUUCAGUCGUCAUCAGGAGAUCGUGGGUUCGAGCCCCAUCGUGGUCA